UAGGGAAUCUUCCGCAAUGGACGCAAGUCUGACGGAGCAACGCCGCGUGAGUGAAGAAGGAUUUCGGUUCGUAAAACUCUGUUGUUAGAGAAGAACAGCGCAUAGAGUAACUGUUAUGCGUGUGACGGUAUCUAACCAGAAAGCCACGGCUAACUACGUGCCAGCAGCCGCGGUAAUACGUAGGUGGCAAGCGUUGUUCGGAUUUAUUGGGCGUAAAGCGAGCGCAGGCGGUCAAUUAAGUCUGAUGUGAAAGCCCCCGGCUCAACCUGGGAGGGUCAUUGAAAACUGGUUGGCUUGAGUGCAGAAGAGGGGAGUGGAAUUCCAUGUGUAGCGGUGAAAUGCGUAGAUAUAUGGAGGAACACCAGUGGCGAAGGCGACUCUCUGGUCUGUAACUGACGCUGAGGCUCGAAAGCGUGGGUAGCAAACAGG
rnacentral:rRNA from 1 species